rnacentral:rRNA from 1 species
AGAGUUUGAUCAUGGCUCAGAACGAACGCUGGCGGCAGGCCUAACACAUGCAAGUCGAACGUGAAGCCACCUUCGGGUGGUGGAAAGUGGCAGACGGGUGAGUAACGCGUGGGAACGUGCCUUUCGGUUCGGGAUAACCCAGGGAAACUUGGGCUAAUACCGGAUACGCCCUCCGGGGGAAAGAUUCAUUGCCGAAAGAUCGGCCCGCGUCGGAUUAGCUAGUUGGUGGGGUAAAAGCCUACCAAGGCGACGAUCCGUAGCUGGUCUGAGAGGAUGACCAGCCACACUGGGACUGAGACACGGCCCAGACUCCUACGGGAGGCAGCAGUGGGGAAUAUUGGACAAUGGGCGCAAGCCUGAUCCAGCCAUGCCGCGUGGGUGAAGAAGGCCCUAGGGUUGUAAACCCCUUUCAGCGGGGAAGAUAAUGACGGUACCCGCAGAAGAAGCCCCGGCUAACUCCGUGCCAGCAGCCGCGGUAAUACGGAGGGGGCUAGCGUUGUUCGGAAUUACUGGGCGUAAAGCGCGCGUAGGCGGACCUGCAAGUCGGGGGUGAAAGCCCGAGGCUCAACCUCGGAACUGCCUUCGAUACUGCGGGUCUCGAGUCCGGGAGAGGUGAGUGGAAUUCCUAGUGUAGAGGUGAAAUUCGUAGAUAUUAGGAAGAACACCAGUGGCGAAGGCGGCUCACUGGCCCGGUACUGACGCUGAGGCGCGAAAGCG